UAUCUAAGCAAAACCGUGGCUGACCAUC
rnacentral:sRNA from 1 species